GAUGAACGCUGGCGGCGUUCCUAAUACAUGCAAGUCGAGAGAAGCGGGGACGGGUGAGUAACACGUGGAUAACCUCCUCUAAGACUUGGAUAACUUCGUGAAACCGGAGCUAAACCGGAUACUUAUAACUGGAUCCGCGUUGCAUUAGCUAGUUGGUAAGGUAACGGCUUACCAAGGCAACGAUGCAUAGCCGAUCUGAGAGGGUGAUCUGCCACACUGGAACUGAGACACGGUCCAGACUCCGACGGGAGGCAGCAGUAGGGAAUCUUCCGCAAUGGGCGAAAGCCUGACGGAGCAACGCCGCGUGAGUGAUGAAGGUCUUCGGAUCGUAAAACUCUGUUAUUAGGGAAGCGGUACCUAAUCAGAAAGCCACGGCUAACUACGUGCCAGCAGCCGCGGUAAUAC
rnacentral:rRNA from 1 species